GCUGCUUUCUUGGGGGGCCAUAGGCUGCGUAGCUUCGCACAGCGCCCAGCAAAUGGCACCAGGGGUGGUAUCCUUCUUCUUUGGGAUGACCUUUUGGUGGAGAUGUCCAACAUCACCAUCACCACCUUCUGCCUCUUAGCCAUGGUCCGUGUCAGAGACUCAGGCGUGAGCUUCAAGAUAACCACCGUUUAUGGCCCCACCGACCACUCACUCAAAGAUGUGUUCUUUGCCGAGCUCGUUGGCCAAAAGCCACCCACUGGUGUGGCUUGGGUCACCUCUGGGGAUUUCAACCAGAUUUACUGGGCAAGGGAUAAAAACAAGGGGAACGUGAACUGCAGCCAUAUAAAUCAGUUCCGUGAAACUCUCCAUAGUUGUGAGCUCAAAGAAAUCCACCUCCAAAAUAGGAGAUUCACAUGGAGCAAUGAGAGGUCCAACCCUGCCCUUUGCAAGCUCGACUCCUUUUGCGAUGCGGAGUGGGAUACAACAUUCAACAACCAUGUGUUACAUGUUCUCUCCUCGUCCCUCUCCGACCACUACCCACUUCUGCUUGCUGAAGAUAAGGGGCCAAGGAGGCCUAGGACCUUCAAAUUUGAGAACUUUUGGGCUUAUAUGCCAGCCUUCUAUGACAUGGUCCACCAGGCCUGGGCCGAGCCAGUUGUGCAUACCGACCCAUACAUGAUCCUUUUCCACAAGCUCAAGAAAACGGCGGCGCGCCUCACGGAAUGGAGUAGAGGCCUCUUCUCUAAAGCCAAGAUCCACCUCCAUGCCACCCUCUUGUUGAUCCUCCGCCUCGACAUUGCUCAGGAGGGAAGGUUGCUCUCCCCCGGGGAGCGUGACCUUCGAGCUCGGCUUAAGAGAAGGGUCAUAAGCUUGGCCGCACUUGAGAAAGCACGUAAAAAGCAGUGUGCUAGAAUCGCAAACAUUAAGGAAGGGGAUGCCAACACCAAAUUCUUUUACCGUCGCGUUAAAUUGAGAAGUGUUGGGGAACGUAGUAAUUUCCAAAAAUUUCCUACGCACACGCAAGAUCAUGGUGAUGCAUAG
rnacentral:rRNA from 1 species